rnacentral:rRNA from 1 species
GCAGAGCAUCCUACGGGAGGCAGCAGUGGGGAAUAUUGCACAAUGGGCGCAAGCCUGAUGCAGCCAUGCCGCGUGUAUGAAGAAGGCCUUCGGGUUGUAAAGUACUUUCAGCAGUGAGGAAGGUGGGUAUGUUAAUAGCAUACUCAUUUGACGUUAGCUGCAGAAGAAGCACCGGCUAACUCCGUGCCAGCAGCCGCGGUAAUACGGAGGGUGCGUAGCGUUAAUCGGGAAUUACUGGGCGUAAAGCGCAUGCAGGUGGUUUGUUAAGUCAGAUGUGAAAGCCCCGGGGCUCAACCUCGGAAUUGCAUUUGAAACUGGCAAACUAGAGUACUGUAGAGGGGGUAGAAUUUCAGGUGUAGCGGUGAAAUGCGUAGAGAUCUGAAGGAAUACCGGUGGCGAAGGCGGCCCCCUGGACAGAUACUGACACUCAGAUGCGAAAGCGUGGGGAGCAAACAGGAUUAGAUCCCCUGGUAG